GCCAUCUCAAAGGGGUGCUUAUUAGUUUAGGCUGAGAUUAUACCCAACGAACCUGAGCGGGUAAUGCUGCUAAGGGAAGUAAUAGCAACGCAGUA
rnacentral:ncRNA from 1 species